rnacentral:rRNA from 1 species
UACAGAGGGGGCAAGCGUUGUUCGGAAUUACUGGGCGUAAAGGGCGCGUAGGCGGCCUGUUAAGUCGAACGUGAAAUCCCCGGGCUCAACCCGGGAACUGCGUCCGAUACUGGCAGGCUUGAAUCCGGGAGAGGGAUGCGGAAUUCCAGGUGUAGCGGUGAAAUGCGUAGAUAUCUGGAGGAACACCCGUGGUGCAGACGGCUUGCUGGACCUCCACUGACGCUGAGGCACGAAAGCGUGGGGAGCAAACAGG